rnacentral:rRNA from 1 species
CCUACGGGUGGCAGCAGUGAGGAAUAUUGGUCAAUGGGCGCGAGCCUGAACCAGCCAAGUAGCGUGAAGGAUGACUGCCCUACGGGUUGUAAACUUCUUUUAUAAAGGAAUAAAGUGAGGCACGUGUGCCUUGUGGGAUGGACUUUAUGAAUAAGGAUCGGCUAACUCCGUGCCAGCAGCCGCGGUAAUACGGAGGAUCCGAGCGUUAUCCGGAUUUAUGGGGUUUAACGGGAGCGUAGAGGGGUUGUUAAGUCAGUGGGGAAAGUUUGCGGCUCAACCGUAAAAUUGCAUUUGAUACUGGCAGUCUUGCGUACAGUUGAGGUAGGCGGAAUUCGUGGUGUAGCGGU